rnacentral:siRNA from 1 species
UUGAAGCGGGGCUGGACGAAUC